AUUGAACGCUGGCGGCAGGCCUAACACAUGCAAGUCGAACGGACCUUUCGGGGUUAGUGGCGGACGGGUGAGUAACACGUGGGAACGUGCCUUUAGGUUCGGAAUAGCUCCUGGAAACGGGUGGUAAUGCCGAAUGUGCCCUUCGGGGGAAAGAUUUAUCGCCUUUAGAGCGGCCCGCGUCUGAUUAGCUAGUUGGUUGAGGUAACGGCUCACCAAGGCGACGAUCAGUAGCUGGUCUGAGAGGAUGACCAGCCACAUUGGGACUGAGACACGGCCCAAACUCCUACGGGAGGCAGCAGUGGGGAAUCUUGCGCAAUGGGCGAAAGCCUGACGCAGCCAUGCCGCGUGAAUGAUGAAGGUCUUAGGAUUGUAAAAUUCUUUCACCGGGGACGAUAAUGACGGUACCCGGAGAAGAAGCCCCGGCUAACUUCGUGCCAGCCGCCGCAGUAA
rnacentral:rRNA from 1 species